rnacentral:rRNA from 1 species
UACGUAGGGAGCAAGCGUUAUCCGGAUUUACUGGGUGUAAAGGGCGCGUAGGCGGGAUGGCAAGUCAGAUGUGAAAUCCAGGGGCUCAACCCCUGAACUGCAUUUGAAACUGUCGUUCUUGAGUACUGGAGAGGUUGACGGAAUUCCUAGUGUAGCGGUGAAAUGCGUAGAUAUCAGGAGGAACACCGGCGGCGAAGGCGGCCUGCUGGACUGCGACUGACGUUGAGGCUCGAAAGCGUGGGGAGCGAACAGG